rnacentral:rRNA from 1 species
AUUGAACGCUGGCGGCAGGCCUAACACAUGCAAGUCGAACGGUAACAGGGAUCAGCUUGCUGAUUCGCUGACGAGAGGCGGACGUGAGAGUAAUGUCUGGGAAACUGCAUGAUGGAGGGGGACAACUACUGGAAACGGUAGCUAAUACCGCAUAACGUCGCAAGACCAAAGAGGGGGACCUUUGGGCCUCUUGCCAUCGGAUGCGCCCAGAUGGGAUUAGCUAGUAGGUGGGGUAACGGCUCACCUAGGCGACGAUCCCUAGCUGGUGUGAGGGGAUGACGAGCCACACUGGAACUGAGACACGGUCCAGGCUCCUACGGGAGGCAGCGGUGGGGAAUAGUGGACGAUGGGCGGAAGACUGAUGCAGCCAUGCCGGCUGUAUGAAGAAGGCCUUCGGGUUGUAAAGUACUUUCAGCGGGGAGGAAGGGAGUAAAGUUAAUACCUUUGCUUAUUGACGUUACCCGCAGAAGAAGCACCGGCUAACUCCGUG